UCAAAGGGAAAUGGUUAUUAGGGGACUUUCGAUGCCAAAGAGGGAAAUUUUAAAUCUGCACUGCUUAGUGUCUGAGUCUGUAUUUUUUAUCCUUUUCUCCCAGAUCUUGUUUGGAACUGUUACAAUGAUCAUAUAACUAUAGCUCUUUGGACCCUUGAAGUCUUCAAUACAAAAGUCCUUUUCCUUUUUUCACUCAUGUUCUUUUCUCAGUUUCAGUGAUUAAGGAAAGCUACUAUAGAAGAGGCAGCAGGAGGAGUGUCAAGAGCCCUGGACUUGGAGUUGGAACCCCCGAGUUCUCGUCCCAGACCUCAGUCAAAUCACUUCCCCUCUCUGGGGCUCAGCUGCCUUCACUGUAAAAGGAAGGAGGUAGAGAGGCAGCAUGUCUUAGCGCAUGGAGAGCUGGCCUCAGAAUCAGGGGAAUCUGGAUUGCUUCAAGCAAAGUGCUUAAAGCCUUCAAGGUCUUCAGUUCUCCAAUGAGUUGGGAUUUCAUUGACAUGGGUACACCUUCCAGCCAUGCCAAUCACAAGCCAUCCAGCCCUACUCAUCCUGUGGGACAUCUUUUCUACAGAGGAUCUGCCCUGUGUCGUGUGACCUUUGCAUUCUCUUCACAUUUCAAGGAUAACAAUGGAGCAACACAUGGGUUGUCCACCUGCGUUCUCACUCUUGCAUGUGACCAGCAAAUUUUCUAUUUUGAACAGUAUUUGUAUACUUCGACAACAUCCUUUAUGCCACUUUUUCCAAACAUAAUUACAAUAUAUUUGCAAUAUGAUGCAGCCUGCUCAUGUACAUGUGUGCCUAUCCAUUACCCACUGGUAAUGCUCAACUUCUUCAGACACCAUGGUGUUCCAUGACUCAACCACCACCAGAAGAACAUUGAUUUUCAAAAACACUUUGCUAAGAUCUUUUAAUGACCCCAAGUUUCUCCCUGAAACAAUUUCCCAAAGGCUAUCCAGCCUGCUCCCUUCCUUUCAAAUUCUGAUCACAACUACUCACUGUCUGAAGUCCAAGAAUUUAUAUGUGUGUGUGUGUGUGUGUGUGUGUAUAUAUAUGCAUAUAUACAUGUAUUAUGACAUAUACUUGUGUGUGCUUGAUAUAUCUAUCAAUAUAUACAUACUCUCACACACACAUAGAGAGAAGCUAUUUAGAUUAUGUAUCCAAUUGCAUGUUAUAGUCUGGAUAAUAUGCAUUCUUCAUUUACUUUGUUUUCCCUGUACAAGAUAGUCAGCGUUGAAUUUCUUAAAGUAGCUGAUUGUGGACUUCAUUUAGGAAGUUCUGCAAUAUUUGAUGGCUUGAUACCAUGCCACACAAGCAGGAACAGCUGGAGGACUUCACCACCCACUGGGAAUCCUUCUUCAACUUGGAUUCUGUGAUGGAUCUUCUUCAUGACAAUGGUGAACACAUCUGGCCAUGCCCAUAGUCUAUGAUCAGGAAAUGGACUCUCUCAUCUGGCCAACAAGCACCUUUGAUGAGAAGUGGUGAUUACCAGCUGCUCAGUUUUGAGAAGCAUGUAAGGUACUGCCAGUUUAGAGAUUUGGCUCUUGGUGAAAAUCCCAAUACAAAGUGAGACAUGCUUCAUGAAAACUUCAAUAAUAGGAAGCAAUCUCCAAAGAGAGAAACUGAAGAUCUGGUCUCAGACAGUUACAAAAAUAAAAGAAAAUUCUGGAACUAUUUUCUCUUUAUUUCCUUAAAAAAAAAAAGAUACUUUCCAGUGAAAUAAUUUCUUGUCCCAUUUGGUUAAGAUCAAGACCAUGACUGAAAGAGUUAAGAUAAUCACCCUUACAGGGAAGUGUUAUUUGAUAUUUUGGGCCAAAGAGCUUUUUUCUGUUACUUCCCCUUCACACACACACACACACACACACACACACACACACGCUCUCUCUCUCUCUCUCUCUCUCUCUCUCUCUCUCUCUCUCUCUCUCUGUGUCUUUCUCUGUCUCUUUUUCUCUCUCUAAAUGUUUAGGUUAUAAACAUCUACCCAGUGACAUUCACAGGUCUAUUCUCUGAUACCAGCUUCCAUCCUUCAACCCCUCUCUUUUCUCUCCAAGUUUAGUGGGAAUACCUAAACCGAAAGAGUGGCAGUUUUCAGGAAAUCCUCUAGAAUUACUUCUACACACCUCAAUAACCAACAAUACAAUGCAUAUGGAUUCUAGCAGGAAGAAGAUUUUCAUUUCUGACUUACUUUUUUUUUGUUUUAAGCAGCAAGUAUCUCAAAGACAAAAAAAAGCCUCUUUAAGUAUAGAAAUCUCUAUGCAUGACUAUACAUAUGAACUCAAAUUUGAAAACCAAUGUUUGAAACUAGUUUAGCCAAUUCAUCCAGGUAGCUACAUUUGAUGCUCCCAAAAAGCAAGCAGCAUGCAAAGUUGAGUUAGUUUUAAAGUCAAAAUAACUGGUGAAGCACCAGAAUUACGAUCUGAACAUAGGUUGCACUCAUAUUUACAUUCAAAGAAGCCCCACAAAUUAACAUGCAAGCACAAGACAAAAACUCAUCACAAUAAUACUUUCACUCAUAUUACCACCAUUAAAAACAUGUUGUGGAUUUAAACACAAAUUUUCAAGAACACAUUUGAAAUGCAUCAAGAAAAUUAAAUCUAUAAAUAUAGAUUUUUAAGCUUAUCGUCAUGGGUAAGUAUUGCUUCUAGUAACGUCGUUAUUUCUUAAGUCAUAAAGAGAAAUUCAACAAUAUAUUCAUUCAGAGAAGUGAAACACCCUCAGUAACAUUUAUAAGCGGAACUUAUUUAGGGUUUCACAGUAAAUGUGGAU